GAUGGAUUGGAUACAAUCCAUUAAAAAUAAAAAAUGUUUUAUGGAUGGAUUGGAUGGAUUUUAUA
rfam:Medicago truncatula strain A17 chromosome 1, whole genome shotgun sequence.